AUGUUAUAUAUACUUUUUUGUUUUAAUAUCUUCAUAUUUUUAAUUUAAAAGAUGACGAGUUCAUUUUAAAAAUCACUACAUUUUUUAAAAAGUUGAAAAUGCAUAAAUAACGCAGAAUUAAAGUAUCAAUAUUGUAUACAGCUCAUAUAAAUCCAUCAGAUAAAUACUAAGACCAUGUUAGACAAUGGAACAGAAGUCAAGAGUCAAUAAAUUCAAAUAAAAGGAAAUAUAAAUAGAUCAAAUAUGCACAGUAAAAAACAAAGUUUCAUCAACCCAGUAGUAAAAAAGAAAUUAAAUAUUUAAGUGCUGUCAUGUCUUGAAUUUUAAAAAAUAUUAAAAAUAUAUUCAUUUUCGGCACUGCUAAUAGAUAAAUUAAUAGAAUUUGUGAAAAGCAACUUCUCAAUACCUAUCAAGAGUUCUGAAGUGUUUAUACUCUUUGGUUAAAUAAUACCAUUUCUAGGAAUCUUGUAUAGAAAUUAUUCUUAUACACCAGCAAGUAUUUUUUAUUACAAAGAGGGUGAUAUUUACUGAAUGCUUAUGCCAUGCACCAAGUAUGGUGCUAAAAUCAUAUGAAAUCGGAGGUGUCAUAAUCUCAAUCUCACAAAUAAGGAGACUUGGGCUACAUUACUGCCCAAAUUACUCAGCCGGCAGGUACUAUGGCCCCAUCCAAACCCAGGCAGUGUGAUUCUAUAACCCAUAUAUUUUUUUUAAUUUAAUUUUUUUGAGAGAGAGAGAGAGAGAGAGAGCACAAGCAAGGAGGAGAAGCAGAGGGAAAGGGAGAAGCAGACUCUCCGCUGAGCAGGGAGCCUAAUGCAGGGUUUGAUCCCAGAGCCCCAAGAUCAUGACCUGACCAAAAGCAGAAGCUUAACUGACUGAGCCACCCAGGCAAUCCUAGAAUCCAUAUUUUUAAGUGCCACACUAUACUGGAGCAUUGCAGCAUUGUUUCUAAUUGUCAAAAACAAAACCGAACACUUCUUAACAAUUCAAUAAACAGCAUGAGACAACUAUUCAUGGAGAAGAAAUGAAAGGGGAAAAAAAACUGGCAACAACCUUAAUAUCCAAUAGUAGGCAAAUAGCACAAUAAAGUUUGGUACUAUGUUUAUGUGCAAUAAGAGAAGGGAGAUUACUCAUUUCAGAAAAAUGUCAGUACAUGGGAGAAUAGGCAUCUUA
rnacentral:lncRNA from 1 species